rnacentral:rRNA from 3 species
GACUGCGGAGGAUCAUUG